rnacentral:rRNA from 1 species
GACAGAGGGUGCAAACGUUGUUCGGAAUUACUGGGCGUAAAGCGUGUGUAGGCGGCCACGUAAGUCGGAUGUGAAAGCCCCGGGCUCAACCCGGGAAGUGCACUCGAUACUGCGUGGCUUGAGUACUGGAGAGGUUGGUGGAAUUCUCGGUGUAGAGGUGAAAUUCGUAGAUAUCGAGAGGAACACCAGUGGCGAAGGCGGCUCACUGGACCGGAACUGACGCUGAGGCGCGAAAGCGUGGGGAGCAAACAGG